rnacentral:rRNA from 1 species
GUACGUUUGACGUCCGUCGGCUACGAGGACGAACGCUGGCGGCGUGCUUAACACAUGCAAGUCGAACGAUGAACUGGAGCUUGCUCCAGGGAUUAGUGGCGAACGGGUGAGUAACACGUGAGUAACCUGACCCUUGACUCUGGGAUAAGCGCUAGAAAUGGCGUCUAAUACCGGAUACGAGCUUCAGCCGCAUGGCUAGGAGUUGGAAAGAAUUUUGGUCAAGGAUGGACUCGCGGCCUAUCAGCUAGUUGGUGAGGUAAUGGCUCACCAAGGCGACGACGGGUAGCCGGCCUGAGAGGGUGACCGGCCACACUGGGACUGAGACAUGGCCCAGACUCCUACGGGAGGCAGCAGUGGGGAAUAUUGCACAAUGGGCGAAAGCCUGAUGCAGCAACGCCGCGUGAGGGAUGACGGCCUUCGGGUUGUAAACCUCUUUUAGUAGGGAAGAAGCGAAAGUGACGGUACCUGCAGAAAAAGCACCGGCUAACUACGUG